GGUGGCUUGGUGGUUAAACUCUCAGCUGCUAACUGAAAGAUUGGUGGUUUGAACCCACCAACCACUG
rnacentral:tRNA from 1 species